GCAAGUCGAAGGUGAAGCUAGAGCUUGCUCUAGUGGAAACUGGCGGACGGGUGAGUAACGCGUAGGGAUGUGCCUAUGAGUACGGAAUAACCGUUGGAAACGACGGCUAAUACCGUAUACGCCCCAAGGGGGAAAGCUCCGGCGCUCAUAGAGCAACCUGCGUCCGAUUAGCUUGUUGGUGAGGUAAUGGCUCACCAAGGCGACGAUCCGUAACUGGUCUGAGAGGAUGAUC
rnacentral:rRNA from 1 species